AACAUAUUGAUCUAAAUAUACUUUCUUUAUCUAUUGCAUACAUGUUGCAACGAGGGGCAUGAUUAUACAUUAAAAAAAUCUUUAUCUUUUCAUUGAUAACACUGUCCUUGCCACGUAUGAUUGUAUAACUGCGCGUUCAUUUGAUGAAAGGUUACAGAAAAGGAGUGAUUGUGUUUUAUGUAAAAAUGGAUUUCAUAUUAUUUAAAGUAAAUUUUGGUAUGUGGUUCCAGCCGUGUACGUUUAACAAUGUUGAUCGCAAGGCGAACCAGCAAACAGCUUGGCAGCUUCUCAGACCAUAAAUCAUGGACUCAGAUCAGUUUCAGAACAGCAAGCGGAGAAUGUGGCAGCUUCCGUAAACAUUAAUGAAGCUCUCGAAUUAGGGAGACAUUCGAGCAGUUUUGCAUCUCCACAGAACAUUGAUGAUGCAUCCGGAUCAG